rnacentral:rRNA from 1 species
UACCAGCACCCCGAGUGGUCGGGACGAUUAUUGGGCCUAAAGCAUCCGUAGCCGGUUCUACAAGUCUUCCGUUAAAUCCAACUGCUUAACAGGUGGGCUGCGGAAGAUACUAUAGAGCUAGGAGGCGGGAGAGGCAAGCGGUACUCGAUGGGUAGGGGUAAAAUCCGUUGAUCCAUUGAAGACCACCAGUGGCGAAGGCGGCUUGCCAGAACGUGCUCGACGGUGAGGGAUGAAAGCUGGGGGAGCAAAGCCGG